GUUGUCAGUCAAGGUGCUUAAGCCAAGGUCAGGUUAUGUGAAAGGACUCGGCUUGAGGCCUUCUUAUUCUAUGAAGACUGCUGUUGCACCUUCUGAAAAUAGUGACUAUGUUCAAUGCCUUGAGAUGCAAAUAGCACAGCAAAAUGAACAAAUUGCAAGGUUUCAAAAGUCAGAGAAGAAACAAAGCAAGAAGAUACAAAGUAUCAUAGAGUGUUUGACGCAGAAAGGUAUCACGGGAAAUUUUGAGAAUGGGGAAAGUUCAGAUUCUGAUGAACAAGCUUCUUGAUUGGAGAUGAACGAAUUUGGUAACCCGCAUAGCAAGAGUUUUUUGUUGAUAUUACCAGACACAUCCAUCACAGUGUAGUUGUACUUUUUGUUGAUAUUACCAAACAUGUAUUUUGACUAUGUUGUUGUGGGCUAUGAUUAUAUUGUGAUGGAUCUUAUCUUUUUGUUGAUAUUUUAUUGAAUAGAUUAAAAUGAACAGGUUUUUGUUGAUAUUACCAAAUGAACAGGUUUUUGUAAUGAUUUGUAAUGGAUAUUAUAUUCAGCAGGUUAUUAAAAUGCACAAGUUAUUUUGA